AUUACACAAUAUUUCGAGAUCAUAAAGCCCAAAUGAUGCAUGCUACUGAUAAAGAUUUUAUUAGUCAAAAACAUAACAUUUCGUCUUGAUGUGAAAAUCAAUUAACCAACGUCAAAGAUACAUAACAGAAUGGAUAAGUUUUCUAUUACAACAUUGUAGUGUAUUUUUGGUUAUAUAUAUACAAGAAAGUCGUAUCUCGGUAUGCUAUAGUAAAUAUCAGUGUAUUUUCUAUUACAACAUUCUAGUUAACUCCUUUUCUUUCAUUAACCUUUCCCCACUUCUCCCGUCAGUUGCCCCGACCCUGUCGGCAGAAGUUCACGAUUGGGCGACACACCUUCAAUUAGAAGAACCUUGUAACAUGUUAUAAUUAUGGCACCUAGUAUUAGAGGCGCCAGCAGCCAAUUUGAAGGGGUUAUUUCAUAGAGUAAAACAAAUGACGCCUGAGUAAACCCACCUGCUAUAUCAUAUUCUUCCGUGAUGCGAAACACGACGAUGAAAUGUAUAAGAUAUAGGACAAACAAAACGCCAUGUAGGAAUGUCCUAUAUAUAAAUAAAAUAUUUAUGCAUUCUAUUUUUUUU
rnacentral:sRNA from 1 species